rnacentral:rRNA from 1 species
UGUACCGCGUUGACGGAGCGAAGCGACGUCAAACCGAUAAAACAGCAGUGUAAAGUGAGCCGCAGGGCGCUUUGCGCGACAGCGCAAAGGCAGGCGGUUUCGCGUAGCGAAAGCGAAUGCUUUGGGGUGGGGUGACUGCGUACCUUUUGUAUAAUGGGUCAGCGACUUAUAUUCUGUAGCAAGGUUAACCGAAUAGGGGAGCCGGAGGGAAACCGAGUCUUAAUUGGGCGUUAAGUUGCAGGGUAUAGACCCGAAACCCGGUGAUCUAGCCAUGGGCAGGUUGAAGGUUGGGUAACACUAACUGGAGGACCGAACCGACUAAUGUUGAAAAAUUAGCGGAUGACCUGUGGCUGGGGGUGAAAGGCCAAUCAAACCGGGAGAUAGCUGGUUCUCCCCGAAAGCUAUUUAGGUAGCGCCUCGUGAAUUCAUCUCCGGGGGUAGAGCACUGUUUCGGCUAGGGGGCCAUCCCGGCUUACCAACCCGAUGCAAACUGCGAAUACCGGAGAAUGUUAUCACGGGAGACACACGGCGGGUGCUAACGUCCGUCGUGAAGAGGGAAACAACCCAGACCGCCAGCUAAGGUCCCAAAGUCAUGGUUAAGUGGGAAACGAUGUGGGAAGGCCCAGACAGCCAGGAUGUUGGCUUAGAAGCAGCCAUCAUUUAAAGAAAGCGUAAUAGCUCACUGGUCGAGUCGGCCUGCGCGGAAGAUGUAACGGGGCUAAACCAUGCACCGAAGCUGCGGCAGCGACACUGUGUGUUGUUGGGUAGGGGAGCGUUCUGUAAGCCUGUGAAGGUGUGUCGUGAGGCAUGCUGGAGGUAUCAGAAGUGCGAAUGCUGACAUAAGUAACGAUAAAGCGGGUGAAAAGCCCGCUCGCCGGAAGACCAAGGGUUCCUGUCCAACGUUAAUCGGGGCAGGGUGAGUCGACCCCUAAGGCGAGGCCGAAAGGCGUAGUCGAUGGGAAACGGGUUAAUAUUCCCGUACUUGGUGUUACUGCGAAGGGGGGACGGAGAAGGCUAUGUUGGCCGGGCGACGGUUGUCCCGGUUUAAGCGUGUAGGUGUGUGUUCCAGGUAAAUCCGGUUCACUUUAACACUGAGGCGUGACGACGAGGCACUACGGUGCUGAAGCAACAAAUGCCCUGCUUCCAGGAAAAGCCUCUAAGCAUCAGGUAACAUCAAAUCGUACCCCAAACCGACACAGGUGGUCAGGUAGAGAAUACCAAGGCGCUUGAGAGAACUCGGGUGAAGGAACUAGGCAAAAUGGUGCCGUAACUUCGGGAGAAGGCACGCUGACACGUAGGUGAAGUGAUUUACUCAUGGAGCUGAAGUCAGUCGAAGAUACCAGCUGGCUGCAACUGUUUAUUAAAAACACAGCACUGUGCAAACACGAAAGUGGACGUAUACGGUGUGACGCCUGCCCGGUGCCGGAAGGUUAAUUGAUGGGGUCAGCGCAAGCGAAGCUCCUGAUCGAAGCCCCGGUAAACGGCGGCCGUAACUAUAACGGUCCUAAGGUAGCGAAAUUCCUUGUCGGGUAAGUUCCGACCUGCACGAAUGGCGUAAUGAUGGCCAGGCUGUCUCCACCCGAGACUCAGUGAAAUUGAACUCGCUGUGAAGAUGCAGUGUACCCGCGGCAAGACGGAAAGACCCCGUGAACCUUUACUAUAGCUUGACACUGAACAUUGAGCCUUGAUGUGUAGGAUAGGUGGGAGGCUUUGAAGUGUGGACGCCAGUCUGCAUGGAGCCGACCUUGAAAUACCACCCUUUAAUGUUUGAUGUUCUAACGUGGACCCGUUACCCGGGUUGCGGACAGUGUCUGGUGGGUAGUUUGACUGGGGCGGUCUCCUCCUAAAGAGUAACGGAGGAGCACGAAGGUUGGCUAAUCCUGGUCGGAC